rnacentral:rRNA from 1 species
CCUACGGGUGGCAGCAGUGGGGGAUAUUGCACAAUGGGGGAAACCCUGAUGCAGCGACGCCGCGUGAGUGAAGAAGUAUUUCGGUAUGUAAAGCUCUAUCAGCAGGGAAGAAAAUGACAGUACCUGACCAAGAAGCCCCGGCUAACUACGUGCCAGCAGCCGCGGUAAUACGUAGGGGGCAAGCGUUAGCCGGAUUUACUGGGUGUAACGGGAGCGUAGACGGUUAUGUAAGUCUGGAGUGAAAGCCCGGGGCGCAACCCCGGGACAGCUUUGGAUACUGUGUAACUGGAGUACAGGAGGGGGAGGCGGAAUGACUGGUGUAGCGGUGAAAUGCGUAGAUAUCAGGAGGAACACCAGCGGAGAAGGCGGGCUGCUGGACUGAAACUGACGUUGAGGCUCGAAAGAGAGGGGAGCAAACAGGAUUAGAUACCCUUGUAGUC